CCGGCGCCUUGAUGACGGGCUCGCCUUCAGCCCCUGGCACGGGCUCGCCGCGCACCGGCCGCUCGGCUCGAUCAUGCGGGCGCGCCGCGCC
rnacentral:tRNA from 1 species